rnacentral:rRNA from 1 species
GUAAGGAAUAUUGGACAAUGGACGCAAGUCUGAUCCAGCCAUGCCGCGUGAAGGAUUAAGGUCCUCUGGAUUGUAAACUUCUUUUAUAAGGGACGAAAAAAGGCUUUUCUAAGUCGUCUGACGGUACCUUAUGAAUAAGCACCGGCUAACUCCGUGCCAGCAGCCGCGGUAAUACGGAGGGUGCAAGGGUUAUCCGGAUUCACUGGGUUUAAAGGGUGCGUAGGCGGGCAGGUAAGUCAGUGGUGAAAUCCUAGAGCUUAACUCUAGAACUGCCAUUGAUACUAUCUGUCUUGAAUAUUGUGGAGGUAAGCGGAAUAUGUCAUGUAGCGGUGAAAUGCUUAGAUAUGACAUAGAACACCUAUUGCUAAGGCAGCUUACUACGCAUAUAUUGACGCUGAUGCACGAAAGCGUGGGGAUCAAACAGGAUUAGAAACCCGGGUAGUCC